CAGUCGCCGCGGUAAUACAGAGGGUGCGAGCGUUAAUCGGAUUUACUGGGCGUAAAGCGUGCGUAGGCGGCUUCUUAAGUCGGAUGUGAAAUCCCUGAGCUUAACUUAGGAAUUGCAUUCGAUACUGCGAAGCUAGAGUAUGGGAGAGGAUGGUAGAAUUCCAGGUGUAGCGGUGAAAUGCGUAGAGAUCUGGAGGAAUACCGAUGGCGAAGGCAGCCAUCUGGCCUAAUACUGACGCUGAGGUACGAAAGCAUGGGGAGCAAACAGGAUUAGAUACCCCUGUAGUCCCUGUCUCUUAUAC
rnacentral:rRNA from 1 species